UAAUAGUUUACUGUUGUAAUUCGUUUAUACCAUGUGUUGGACAACUUAGCUAAUAUGUUAAUUGAUUUAUACAAUUCCUUUCAGUUUUAUCUAAAAAUAGCAGACCAAAAUUAAAUAAGAAAGUUACAUAAGAUUCCAUUUGAGCAUACAUAAGGCCAUGAUACUUUAAUGUGAACCACCAUUUCUUGGAAGAAAGAAGACAUCCAAAUGUCCGAUUCAGAGAGAAAGUUCCUGGCCAGUCAUCCAGUAGACUCUCUCCACUCUUCAAUGGGAAGGUAUGGCCCAUCUCCUGUACGCUUGGAGCGACCUUUGGCUACGUGGCUGGCCUUGUUAUUUCACCACUCUGGAUAUACUGGAAUAGAAAGCAACUUACAUACAAGAACAAUUAACUGGAGCAAAGGGAGAUAUUUCUUUGUGCAGAUUCUGUAAGGGCUGUGCAGAAAUAUGUAUGGUCAAAGCCAAGCAGUUCCAUUUACAGCUCUGUUUUUUAUGUAGUUACAACACGAUGUGAUUGUAGCUUUUUAAACUAUGAAACCCCUGAGAGAUUGUACCUUCUAGUUGAAAUAAAGUAUUUAUAAUA
rnacentral:lncRNA from 1 species